rnacentral:rRNA from 1 species
CCUACGGGCGGCAGCAGUGGGGAAUAUUGGACAAUGGGGGGAACCCUGAUCCAGCCAUGCCGCGUGUGUGCAGAAGGCCCUCGGGUUGUAAAGCACUUUCAGUGAGGAAGAACGCCUGGUGGUUAAUACCCAUCAGGAAAGACAUCACUCACAGAAGAAGCACCGGCUAACUCCGUGCCAGCAGCCGCGGUAAUACGGAGGGUGCGAGCGUUAAUCGGAAUUACUGGGCGUAAAGCGCGCGUAGGUGGCUUGAUAAGCCGGUUGUGAAAGCCCCGGGCUCAACCUGGGAACGGCAUCCGGAACUGUCAAGCUAGAGUGCAGGAGAGGAAGGUAGAAUUCCCGGUGUAGCGGUGAAAUGCGUAGAGAUCGGGAGGAAUACCAGUGGCGAAGGCGGCCUUCUGGACUGACACUGACACUGAGGUGCGAAAGCGUGGGUAGCAAACAGGAUUAGAUACCCUGGUAGUC